rnacentral:rRNA from 1 species
AGAGUUUGAUCAUGGCUCAGAACGAACGCUGGCGGCAGGCUUAACACAUGCAAGUCGAACGCCCCGCAAGGGGAGUGGCAGACGGGUGAGUAACGCGUGGGAAUCUACCCAAUACUACGGAAUAGCUCCGGGAAACUGGAAUUAAUACCGUAUGUGCCCGAGAGGGGAAAGAUUUAUCGGUAUUGGAUGAGCCCGCGUUGGAUUAGCUAGUUGGUGGGGUAAUGGCCUACCAAGGCGACGAUCCAUGGCUGGUCUGAGAGGAUGAUCAGCCACACUGGGACUGAGACACGGCCCAGACUCCUACGGGAGGCAGCAGUGGGGAAUAUUGGACAAUGGGCGAAAGCCUGAUCCAGCCAUGCCGCGUGAGUGAUGAAGGCCUUAGGGUUGUAAAGCUCUUUCAGUGGGGAAGAUAAUGACGGUACCCACAGAAG